UACGGAAGGCAGCAGGGGGAAUAUUGCACAAUGGGCGGAAGCCUGAUGCAGCGACGCCGCGUGAGGGAUGACGGCCUUCGGGUUGUAAACCUCUUUCAGCACGGAAGAAGCGAGAGUGACGGUACGUGCAGAAGAAGCGCCGGCUAACUACGUGCCAGCAGCCGCGGUAAUACGGAGGGUGCUAGCGUUAAUCAGAAUUACUGGGCGUAAAAGAGCACGUAGGUGGUUUUUUUUAAAGUCAGAUGUGAAAUCCCUGGGCUUAACCUGGAAACUGCAUUUUGAAACUGAAAUACUAGAGUAUCGUAGAGGGAGGUAGAAUUCUAGGUGUAAGCGGUGAAAAUGCGUAGAUAUCUGGAGGAAUACCUGUGGCGAAAGCGGCCUCCUAAACGAAUACUGACACUGAGGUGCGAAAAGCGUGGGGAGCAAACAGGGAUUAGAUACC
rnacentral:rRNA from 1 species